ACUUUAGAUAACUUUUCAAGUGUAGGUCUUUUAAACCUAAAAAAGUAUUUUUAAUACUUCUAGAG
rnacentral:tRNA from 1 species